AGUGUAGCAUCUGUUCUGAAGGCGAAUGUUGUUUAGCCGAACGUUUUUUUCUUCGGGUUGCUAAUAGUUAUAUGAUCGCCCUAACAUUUUAUAAGUUGAAAACAAGAAUAUUUUAACAAUUGUACAACAGAAAAAUACAAGAGGUUUACAAAAAAGUUAAAAAUUAGACAUUUCACUGCAUGAUUCUUAUCUGAUAACGUGACAACGCAGACUACAUUAGGAGUAUAAAAACAUUACAAUGAAUUGUAAUUAUAUUUAUCCGUCGUGAUCAACAUA